UACGUAGGGGGCUAGCGUUGUCCGGAAUCAUUGGGCGUAAAGCGCGUGUAGGCGGCCAGAAAAGUUGGGUGUGAAAGCCCUCGGCUUAACCGAGGAAGUGCGCCCAAAACUGUUUGGCUUGAGUACCGGAGAGGAUGGUGGAAUUCCCGGUGUAGAGGUGAAAUUCGUAGAUAUCGGGAGGAACACCAGUGGCGAAGGCGACCAUCUGGACGGAUACUGACGCUGAGACGCGAAAGCGUGGGUAGCAAACAGG
rnacentral:rRNA from 1 species